UACGGGGGGAGCAAGCGUUGUUCGGAUUUACUGGGCGUAAAGAGCUCGUAGGUGGUUUGUCGCGUUGUCCGUGAAAACUCACAACUCAAUUGUGGGCGUGCGGGCGAUACGGGCAGACUGGAGUACUGCAGGGGAGACUGGAAUUCCUGGUGUAGCGGUGGAAUGCGCAGAUAUCAGGAGGAACACCGGUGGCGAAGGCGGGUCUCUGGGCAGUAACUGACGCUGAGGAGCGAAAGCGUGGGGAGCGAACAGG
rnacentral:rRNA from 1 species